UGCAGCCUGAAGGGGUGGGUUGCCCCUCC
rnacentral:piRNA from 1 species